UUUUCAAAUUCCCUUACCUGAGGAAGGAGCCCGAUUACAAGGAUAUUUACCUGCUCCUACCCUGAUCUAGAAGAGGAAGCUAAGGCCUGGGUUGGGUAACUGCCUGACGUUUUACUGUAAGUGCAUUGUGUGCCCAAGCUCAGGGUUGUCCCGUCUAGACCAUUAAAGUCACACAGUGCAAUUUAAGAAGACAAUGAGGCAAUCUCAGCACUUUGGGAGGCCGAGGUGGGUGGAUCACAAGGUCAGGAGAUCGAGACCAUCCUGGUGAAUGAAACCCCGUCUCUACUAAAAAUACAAAAAAUUAGCCGGGCGUGGCGGCGGGUGCCUGUGGUCCCAGCUACUCGGGAGGCUGAGGCAGGAGAAUGGCGUGAAUCCGGGAGGUGGAGCUUACAGUGAGCGGAGAUCUGGCUACUGCACUCCAGCC
rnacentral:lncRNA from 1 species